CAGUAGCCGCGGUAAAACAGAGGGUGCGAGCGUUAAUCGGAUUUACUGGGCGUAAAGCGUGCGUAGGCGGCUUCUUAAGUCGGAUGUGAAAUCCCUGAGCUUAACUUAGGAAUUGCAUUCGAUACUGGGAAGCUAGAGUAUGGGAGAGGAUGGUAGAAUUCCAGGUGUAGCGGUGAAAUGCGUAGAGAUCUGGAGGAAUACCGAUGGCGAAGGCAGCCAUCUGGCCUAAUACUGACGCUGAGGUACGAAAGCAUGGGGAGCAAACAGGAUUAGAUACCCCUGUAGUCCCUGUCUCUUAUAC
rnacentral:rRNA from 1 species